rnacentral:rRNA from 1 species
AUGCAUAUUAAUACCACUUUAUUAGCAGAUGUCAUUGGCAUAGCAAGUUACAUAGGACAUAUUGAAGAAACACAGACAACCCACGGGAUUUCAAAGAUUCAAGAUAUUGUGCUUCGAAUCGAGGAUCAAAAAAUUAAUAUUAGACUAUGGGGUAAUAAGGUUAGUCAAAUUGAUGAAGAUUCUUUGGGGCGUGUGGUCAUAGUAACAUCAACUACUGUUAGAAAACUGAAAGAGUACUCGCUGUCAUCUACAGGUGCGACCAGAGUUUAUAUCGAUUUGGAUAUCCCUGAAACAAAUGAGCUUCAAACGAGUUAUUGCUUGCAAGAUGAUAUGGUAGAAUAA